CCUACGGGGUGCAGCAGUGGGGAAUAUUGCACAAUGGGGGAAACCCUGAUGCAGCGACGCCGCGUGAGUGAAGAAGUAUUUCGGUACGUAAAGCUCUAUCAGCAGGGAAGAAAAAAAGUCCUUUGGACUUUGGACGGUACCUGACCAAGAAGCCCCGGCUAACUACGUGCCAGCAGCCGCGGUAAUACGGAGGGGGCAAGCGUUAUCCGGAUUUAUUGGGUGUAAAGGGAGCGUAGACGGCAGCGCAAGUCUGGAGUGAAAUGCCGGGGCCCAACCCCGGAACUGCUUUGGAAACUGUGCGGCUGGAGUGCAGGAGAGGUAAGCGGAAUGCCUAGUGUAGCGGUGAAAUGCGUAGAUAUUAGGAGGAACACCAGUGGCGAAGGCGGCUUACUGGACUGUAACUGACGUUGAGGCUCGAAAGCGUGGGGAGCAAACAGGAUUAGAUACCCUUGUAGUC
rnacentral:rRNA from 1 species